CGCACAUUGCGCCCUUUGGUAUUCCGAGGGGCAUGCCUGUUCGAGCGUCAUUUCAACCCUCAAGCCUAGCUUGGUCUUGAACGCGGUCUCGGGACCCGUUCCUAACCCUUCGGUGGUACCGUUCAGCCCCAGGCGUAGCAAGACAUCUCGCCUCGGGGGCCUGCGGCGGUGCCUGCCAGGAAAUGCACCUAGGAGUUUGACCUCGGAUCAGGUAGGGAUACCCGCUGAACUUAA
rnacentral:misc_RNA from 1 species